AACCCUUGUCCUUAGUUACCAGCACGUUAUGGUGGGCACUCUAAGGAGACUGCCGGUGGACAAACCGGAGGAAGGUGGGGAUGACGUCAAGUCCAUCAUGGCCUUACGGCCUGGGCUACACACGUGCUACAAUGGUCGGUACAAAGGGUUGCCAAGCCGCGAGGUGGAGCUAAUCCCAUAAAACCGAAUCCGUAGUCCGGAUCGCAGUCUGCAACUCGACUGCGUGAAGUCGGAAUCGCUAGUAAUCGUGAAUCAGAAUGUCACGGUGAAUACGUUCCCGGGCCUU
rnacentral:rRNA from 1 species